GAUGAACGCUGGCGGCGUGCCUAAUACAUGCAAAUCGAGCGAACGGACGAGAAGCUUGCUUCUCUGAUGUUAGCGGCGGACGGGUGAGUAACACGUGGAUAACCUACCUAUAAGACUGGGAUAACUUCGGGAAACCGGAGCUAAUACCGGAUAAUAUUUUGAACCGCAUGGUUCAAAAGUGAAAGACGGUUUUGCUGUCACUUAUAGAUGGAUCCGCGCUGCAUUAGCUAGUUGGUAAGGUAACGGCUUACCAAGGCAACGAUGCAUAGCCGACCUGAGAGGGUGAUCGGCCACACUGGAACUGAGACACGGUCCAGACUCCUACGGGAGGCAGCAGUAGGGAAUCUUCCGCAAUGGGCGAAAGCCUGACGGAGCAACGCCGCGUGAGUGAUGAAGGUCUUCGGAUCGUAAAACUCUGUUAUUAGGGAAGAACAAAUGUGUAAGUAACUGUGCACAUCUUGACGGUACCUAAUCAGAAAGCCACGGCUAACUACGUG
rnacentral:rRNA from 1 species